rnacentral:rRNA from 1 species
UACGAAGGGGGCUAGCGUUGCUCGGAAUUACUGGGCGUAAAGGGCGCGUAGGCGGCACUGUUAGUCAGGCGUGAAAGUCCUGGGCUCAACCUGGGAACUGCGCUUGAUACGGCAGAGCUAGAGGAUGGAAGAGGCUCGCGGAAUUCCCAGUGUAGAGGUGAAAUUCGUAGAUAUUGGGAAGAACACCGGUGGCGAAGGCGGCAUCCUGGACCGGCAUUGACGCUGAGGCGCGAAAGCCAGGGGAGCAAACGGG